UACGUAGGGUGCGAGCGUUACUCGGAAUUACUGGGCGUAAAGGGCGCGUAGGCGGCCUUGUAAGUCUCGUGUGAAAGCCCUCGGCUUAACUGAGGAUCUGCACGGGAUACUGCGAGGCUUGAGUUCGGGAGAGGAAAGCGGAAUUCCGGGUGUAGCGGUGAAAUGCGUAGAUAUCCGGAGGAACACCAGUGGCGAAGGCGGCUUUCUGGACCGACACUGACGCUGAGGCGCGAAAGCUAGGGGAGCAAACGGG
rnacentral:rRNA from 1 species